UGGAAGCGUCUGGAAAGGCGCGCGAUACAGGGUGACAGCCCCGUACACAAAAAUGCACAUGCUGUGAGCUCGAUGAGUAGGGCGGGACACGUGGUAUCCUGUCUGAAUAUGGGGGGACCAUCCUCCAAGGCUAAAUACUCCUGACUGACCGAUAGUGAACCAGUACCGUGAGGGAAAGGCGAAAAGAACCCCGGCGAGGGGAGUGAAAAAGAACCUGAAACCGUGUACGUACAAGCAGUGGGAGCACGCUUAGGCGUGUGACUGCGUACCUUUUGUAUAAUGGGUCAGCGACUUAUAUUCUGUAGCAAGGUUAACCGAAUAGGGGAGCCGAAGGGAAACCGAGUCUUAACUGGGCGUUAAGUUGCAGGGUAUAGACCCGAAACCCGGUGAUCUAGCCAUGGGCAGGUUGAAGGUUGGGUAACACUAACUGGAGGACCGAACCGACUAAUGUUGAAAAAUUAGCGGAUGACUUGUGGCUGGGGGUGAAAGGCCAAUCAAACCGGGAGAUAGCUGGUUCUCCCCGAAAGCUAUUUAGGUAGCGCCUCGUGAAUUCAUCUCCGGGGGUAGAGCACUGUUUCGGCAAGGGGGUCAUCCCGACUUACCAACCCGAUGCAAACUGCGAAUACCGGAGAAUGUUAUCACGGGAGACACACGGCGGGUGCUAACGUCCGUCGUGAAGAGGGAAACAACCCAGACCGCCAGCUAAGGUCCCAAAGUCAUGGUUAAGUGGGAAACGAUGUGGGAAGGCCCAGACAGCCAGGAUGUUGGCUUAGAAGCAGCCAUCAUUUAAAGAAAGCGUAAUAGCUCACUGGUCGAGUCGGCCUGCGCGGAAGAUGUAACGGGGCUAAACCAUGCACCGAAGCUGCGGCAGCGACACU
rnacentral:rRNA from 1 species